GGUAAUACGGCUUUCCUACGCCACCGUGAAUUACUUUGUUCGAUCCUCCAAUUACGAUCGCGAAUUACCCCUUUCCUACAGGCACAUUCUUAAUUCGAUUUGACAGUUCUCUAUCAUUGUGUUUUGUUUUUUUGUUAUUCGCUACAAAAUUUAUGCCAAAUUAUCGUAAUUCGAAGGGAAAUUGGAGUGCGAAUGAAGAAUGAGAGAGCAAACUACGUAAUUGGGGUGCCGUGAGAAAGCCGUAUUACACUGUUCAACUUUCACAGGCGGUACUCCUGGCGUUGAAGGUGCUGAAGGCGGAAGGUACCCAUGGUGCUCCUGGCGAUGACGGAGCUGAGGGUAGAAGGUACUGGUGGUGUUCCUGGCGAUGAAGAAGCUGAGGGCAGAAGGUUCGAAUGGUGCUCCUGGCGAUGAAGAUGCAAGCGUUGGAGGUGCUGAUGGUGAAUCCCAAAUCUGUAAACAAACAAAAAUAUCAAUUAAAAUUUAUAAACAUAUAAAA